rnacentral:rRNA from 1 species
UACAGAGGUCCCAAGCGUUGUUCGGAUUCACUGGGCGUAAAGGGUGCGUAGGUGGCUUGGUAAGUUUGAUGUGAAAUCUCCGGGCUUAACCCGGAAAUGGCAUUGAAUACUAUUGAGCUGGAGGUUUGGAGGGGGACUGGAAUUCUCGGUGUAGCAGUGAAAUGCGUAGAUAUCGAGAGGAACACCAGUGGCGAAGGCGAGUCCCUGGACAACACCUGACACUGAGGCACGAAAGCCGGGGAGCAAACAGG